GCUGGAAUGAUCGAACGGGCUGGACCGACGGUUUCACAAGAAUUACAGGCCGUCCGACCCCGUACACGUCGUGUUUGCCCGUGGUCGCUGGGUCCGUCGGCAAGGUCGGACGGCCUCCCCACCGGCGACGGCGACCUCCCUUCUCGUCGGUGACAAUCCGAUUCGAGCCCUGGUUCGCAGGCAGCGAGAUCUUUCCUUCGAGCCCCCCCGCCCCCCCUCCCCCUCCUCGCACUGGCCAAGUCAAUUCGAAAUUCAUGGAGGGUCGAGGGGGAUCGCCUCCGUCUUCCGAGUCCGGCUGACGCCGGCGUCCAGCGUCCAGUGGUAGGUGACGUAUCCGUCAACAACGAGGCGUCUGCGGUGAUUUCGUCGAUCUCUCAAGAACUGCCGGCUCAAUGUCUUGGAGGUACUCAGGGUUUAGCGUGUGCGUGUGUGCGUCUGUGAGUGUAUGCGCGUGUAUGAGCGUCUGCGUUUCUCAUGUUUCACCGAUGUUUUUGAAAGAAAAAAUGUCAGCGAUGAGCGACCAAGGCCAAGGGCGGGAACUCGGCGCUCCGGAGAUUGGGCAAUUAACAAAUACGGAGUAGAUAAAACGUCUUGGUUUUCAGAGCAGAGAGACGUCAUGAGCAAAAUGCAUUUUCACGUAUGAUCUUAAGAGAUUUCGUACUCAAUUUUCCAGCCUGAUAUCGGAGUAGAGUUUUCUUAAGAAGAGAGGGGCCGGAGAAGUCUUGAUAUUGACCAGACGACUUUCGGUCAGACAUGGCGGCAUGCUGGCCAAAAUUAAUCGAAGAGAGGGGGAUCGAGGGUCAGACGUCGCUUGCAGGUGCAGCCUCUUAGUUUGAUGUAACACCGUGAGCUUUUGUGUUCCCAAUUAAUUAAAGUGGAACUGUAAUACAUGCUUCCUCUUAGUCUGAGGUAAACAGCGUGGGCUUCAAUUAGCCCUGCGAAACACGAACCGAACAAAUACAUGUGCAGUUGCAUCACGUGUUCCUAACGUCUUGUCUGGUGUUAGUGUA